rnacentral:rRNA from 1 species
GCCGCGAGGUGGAGCAAAUCCCAAAAAUAACGUCUCAGUUCGGAUUGUAGUCUGCAACUCGACUACAUGAAGCUGGAAUCGCUAGUGAUCGCGAAUCAGAAUGUCGCGGUGAAUACGUUCCCGGGUCUUGUACACACCGCCCGUCACACCAUGGGAGUCAGCAACGCCCGAAGCCGGUGACCCAACCGAAAGGAGGGAGCCGUCGAAGGUGGGGCCGAUAACUGGGGUGAAGUCGUAACAAGGUACC